GACGAACGCUGGCGGCGUGCUUAACACAUGCAAGUCGAACGGAAAGGCCCUGCUUUUGUGGGGUGCUCGAGUGGCGAACGGGUGAGUAACACGUGAGUAACCUGCCCUUGACUUUGGGAUAACUUCAGGAAACUGGGGCUAAUACCGGAUAGGAGCUCCUGCUGCAUGGUGGGGGUUGGAAAGUUUCGGCGGUUGGGGAUGGACUCGCGGCUUAUGAGCUUGUUGGUGGGGUAGUGGCUUACCAAGGCUUUGACGGGUAGCCGGCCUGAGAGGGUGACCGGCCACAUUGGGACUGAGAUACGGCCCAGACUCCUACGGGAGGCAGCAGUGGGGAAUAUUGCACAAUGGGCGGAAGCCUGAUGAAGCAACGCCGCGUGCGGGAUGACGGCCUUCGGGUUGUAAACCGCUUUCGCCUGUGACGAAGCGUGAGUGACGGUAAUGGGUAAAGAAGCACCGGCUAACUACGUG
rnacentral:rRNA from 1 species